UAUUAGAAAUUUCAUCAAUUUCUACUAUUAAAAACUGGCAUAGCUGACGAAAUAGCUAGACUGUUACACGUGACAUGACACGUGUGCCUCUUGCUAACAUACAGAGACAAGUUUUUAAUAGUAAGAAUGAAUAGAAUUUUUAAUA
rfam:Gossypium arboreum cultivar AKA8401 contig_5330_13, whole genome shotgun sequence.